GACGAACGCUGGCGGCGUGCCUAAUACAUGCAAGUCGAGCGGACUGAAUGGGAGCUUGCUCUUGUUCGGUCAGCGGCGGACGGGUGAGUAACACGUGGGCAACCUGCCCGCAAGACCGGGAUAACUCCGGGAAACCGGAGCUAAUACCGGAUAACACCGAAGACCGCAUGGUCUUUGGUUGAAAGGCGGCGCAAGCUGCCACUUGCGGAUGGUCCCGCGGCGCAUUGGCUAGUUGGUGAGGUAACGGCUCACCAAGGCGACGAUGCGUAGCCGGCCUGAGGGGGUGACAGGCCACACUGGGACUGAGACAGGGCCCAGACUCCUACGGGAGGCAGCAGUAGGGAAUCUUCCGCAAGAGGCGAAAGCCUGACGGAGCGACGCCGCGUGAGCGAAGAAGGCCCUCGGGUCGUAAAGCUCUGUUGUGAGGGACGAAGGAGCGCCGUUUGAAGAAGGCGGCGCGGUGACGGUACCUAACGAGGAAGCCCCGGCUAACUACGUG
rnacentral:rRNA from 1 species